rnacentral:rRNA from 1 species
UACGGGGGGGGCAAGCGUUGUUCGGAAUUACUGGGCGUAAAGGGCUCGUAGGCGGCCAACUAAGUCGGACGUGAAAUCCCUCGGCUUAACCGGGGAACUGCGUCCGAUACUGGAUGGCUUGAGUUCGGGAGAGGGAUGCGGAAUUCCAGGUGUAGCGGUGAAAUGCGUAGAUAUCUGGAGGAACACCGAUGGCGAAGGCGGCAUCCUGGACCGACACUGACGCUGAGGAGCGAAAGCCAGGGGAGCAAACGGG